CGGUAAUACGGAAGGUCCAGGCGUUAUCCGGAUUUAUUGGGUUUAAAGGGAGCGUAGGCUGGAGAUUAAGUGUGUUGUGAAAUGUAGACGCUCAACGUCUGAAUUGCAGCGCAUACUGGUUUCCUUGAGUACGCACAACGUUGGCGGAAUUCGUCGUGUAGCGGUGAAAUGCUUAGAUAUGACGAAGAACUCCGAUUGCGAAGGCAGCUGACGGGAGCGCAACUGACGCUUAAGCUCGAAGGUGCGGGUAUCAAACAGGAUUAGAUACCCUGGUAGUCCGCACAGUAAACGAUGGAUGCCCGCUGUUGGUACCUGGUAUCAGCGGCUAAGCGAAAGCAUUAAGCAUCCCACCUGGGGAGUACGCCGGCAACGGUGAAACUCAAAGGAAUUGACGGGGGCCCGCACAAGCGGAGGAACAUGUGGUUUAAUUCGAUGAUACGCGAGGAACCUUACCCGGGCUUGAAUUGCAGAGGAAGGAUUUAGAGAUA
rnacentral:rRNA from 1 species